GGGGGGGGGGGGGGGGGGGGGGGGGGGGGGCGGGGCGGGCGGGCGGGCGGGGCGCGUGCUUGUCUGAUGUUAGCGGCGGACGGGUGCGUAACACGUGGGUAACCGACCUAUAAGGCUGGGAUAACUUCGGGAAACCGGCGCUAAUACCGGGUAAUAUUUUGAACCGCAUGGUUCAAAAGUGAAAGACGGUCUUGCUGUCACUUAUCGAUGGAUCCGCGCUGCAUUAGCUAGUUGGUAAGGUAACGGCUUACCAAGGCAACGAUGCAUAGCCGACCUGAGAGGGUGAUCGGCCACACUGGAACUGAGACACGGUCCAGACGCCUACGGGAGGCAGCAGUAGGGAAUCUUCCGCAAUGGGCGAAAGCCUGACGGAGCAACGCCGCGUGAGUGAUGAAGGUCUUCGGAUCGUAAAACUCUGUUAUUAGGGAAGAACAUAUGUGUAAGUAACUGUGCACAUCUUGACGGUACCUAAUCAGAAAGCCACGGCUAACUACGUG
rnacentral:rRNA from 1 species